AGGCCGUGAUGGGGACACUUGCGUAAUAGCUCCUUGAACCUUUCCCAUGUUUCAUAUAAGGAUUCCCCGUCCUCUUGUGAGUAAGUAUUAAUUUCAGCCAUUAAUUU
rnacentral:snoRNA from 1 species